UUUGAAUUUGAUCGAUUUGGCAGGAAGUGAGAGAGUGAAAGAAUCUGGUUCUGCAGGCGAGAGAUUAACUGAAGCUAAAGCUAUAAAUAAAUCUUUAUCAAAUCUUGGAAAUGUCAUCAUGUCCUUAUCCCGAAAGGAUAGUCAUAUCCCAUACAGGGAUAGCAAAUUAACUCAUUUACUGGCCAAUUCCUUAGGAGGAAAUAGUAAGACGCUUAUGUUUGUGAAUAUCAAUCCAGACAGUGAAAAUUUGAGUGAAACAAUAAAUUCUUUAAGAUUUGCUACAAAGGUUAACCAAUGCAAUAUUGGGACUGCGCAAAAAAGAGUAAAAUAAAUUUCAGUUAAAUCUUCCGAAGAAAAAUUUUAAAGAUAUGGCAUAAAAUUUUAACUGACCUUCAAUAUUUAUUUCAAGUGGCUAAUAUAACUUCAAUAUAAACUAUUAAUCUGACAUGUAGAGAAGUUACAUGUAACUGUACAUACUUUGUUUUUAUAUAAUAAAUGUAUUUGUAUUAAAUAUA